rnacentral:rRNA from 1 species
UACAGAGGGUGCAAGCGUUGUUCGGAAUUAUUGGGCGUAAAGGGCGCGUAGGCGGUGCGGUAAGUCUGUAGUGAAAUCUCUGGGCUCAACUCAGAGUCUGCUGCAGAAACUGCCGUGCUUGAGUGUGGGAGAGGUGAGUGGAAUUCCGCGUGUAGCAGUGAAAUGCGUAGAUAUGCGGAGGAACACCGAUGGCGAAGGCAAUCCCCUGGGCAUCAACUGACGCUGAGGCGCGAAAGCGUGGGUAGCAAACAGG